rnacentral:rRNA from 1 species
UACGGGGGGGGCAAGCGUUGUUCGGAAUUACUGGGCGUAAGGGGCUCGUAGGCGGCCAACUAAGUCAGACGUGAAAUCCCUCAGCUUAACUGGGGAACUGCGUCUGAUACUGGAUGGCUUGGAUUUGGGAGAGGGAUGCGGAAUUCCAGGUGUAGCGGUGAAAUGCGUAGAUAUCUGGAGGAACACCGGUGGCGAAGGCGGCAUCCUGGACCAAUAUUGACGCUGAGGAGCGAAAGCCAGGGGAGCAAACGGG